GACGAACGCUGGCGGCGUGCUUAACACAUGCAAGUCGAACGGAAAGGCCCUGCUUUUGUGGGGUGCUCGAGUGGCGAACGGGUGAGUAACACGUGAGUAACCUGCCCUUGACUUUGGGAUAACUUCAGGAAACUGGGGCUAAUACCGGAUAGGAGCUCCUGCUGCAUGGUGGGGGUUGGAAAGUUUCGACGGUUGGGGAUGGACUCGCGGCUUAUCAGCUUGUUGGUGGGGUAGUGGCUUACCAAGGCUUUGACGGGUAGCCGGCCUGAGAGGGUGACCGGCCACAUUGGGACUGCGAUACGGCCCAGACUCCUACGGGAGGCAGCAGUGGGGAAUAUUGCACAAUGGGCGGAAGCCUGAUGCAGCAACGCCGCGUGCGGGAUGACGGCCUUCGGGUUGUAAACCGCUUUCGCCUGUGACGAAGCGUGAGUGACGGUAAUGGGUAAAGAAGCACCGGCUAACUACGUG
rnacentral:rRNA from 1 species